GAUGAACGCUGGCGGCGUGCCUAAUACAUGCAAGUCGAGCGAACAGACGAGGAGCUUGCUCCUCUGACGUUAGCGGCGGACGGGUGAGUAACACGUGGAUAACCUACCUAUAAGACUGGGAUAACUUCGGGAAACCGGAGCUAAUACCGGAUAAUAUAUUGAACCGCAUGGUUCAAUAGUGAAAGACGGUUUUGCUGUCACUUAUAGAUGGAUCCGCGCCGCAUUAGCUAGUUGGUAAGGUAACGGCUUACCAAGGCAACGGUGCGUAGCCGACCUGAGAGGGUGGACGGCCACACUGGAAGGGAGACCAGGUCCAGACUCCGACGGGAGGCAGAAGGAGGGAAUCUGCAGCAAUGGGCGAAAGCCUGAAGGAGGAACGCCGCGGGAGUGAUGAAGGUCCUCGGAGCGUAAAAGUCUUUUAGUAGGGAAGAACAAAUGUGUAAGUAACUAUGCACGUCGUGACGGUACCUAAUCAGAAAGCCACGGCUAACUACGUG
rnacentral:rRNA from 1 species